CAUGUAGGCGGUUUUUUAAGUCCGGAGUGAAAAUGCGGGGCUCAACCCCGUAUGGCUCUGGAUACUGGAAGACUUGAGUGCAGGAGAGGAAAGGGGAAUUCCCAGUGUAGCGGUGAAAUGCGUAGAUAUUGGGAGGAACACCAGUGGCGAAGGCGCCUUCUGGACUGUGUCUGACGCUGAGAUGCGAAAGCCAGGGUAGCGAACG
rnacentral:rRNA from 1 species